UACGAAGGGGGCUAGCGUUGCUCGGAAUGACUGGGCGUAAAGGGCGCGUAGGCGGUUCAUACAGUCAGAUGUGAAAUUCCCGGGCUUAACCUGGGGGCUGCAUUUGAUACGUGUGGGCUUGAGUGAGGAAGAGGGUUGUGGAAUUCCUGGUGUAGCGGUGAAAUGCGCAGAUAUCAGGAAGAACACCCGUGGCUAAGGCGGCUCUCUAGUACGGUACUGACGCUGAGACGCGAAAGCGUGGGGAGCGAACAGG
rnacentral:rRNA from 1 species